UACAGAGGUGGCAAGCGUUGUUCGGAAUUACUGGGCGUAAAGGGCGCGUAGGCGGUUCGUUAAGUCCUGUGUGAAAUCCCCCGGCUCAACUGGGGAACUGCACAGGAAACUAGCGGGCUUGAGUUCGGGAAAGGGAAGCGGAAUUCCGGGUGUAGCGGUGAAAUGCGUAGAUAUCCGGAGGAACACCGGUGGCGAAGGCGGCUUCCUGGACCGACACUGACGCUGAGGCGCGAAAGCUAGGGGAGCAAACGGG
rnacentral:rRNA from 1 species